UCUUGGAGGUUAGGGGAAAAGCUCAUAAUCUGAGCACAGACAUACGGAGAGGGAAAUUUCGAACUUAUUGCAUGUCAGAAUGGCCAACCUUUGACGUGGGAUGGCCCCGAGAAGGAACUUUACCUACCAAUUAUCUUACAGGUUAAGGCCGUGAUCUUCAGGGAUAAACCGGACGGCCACCCUGGCCAGGUGCCCUACAUCCUGGUCUGGCAGGACAUGAUCGAGAAUCCCCCUCCUUGGCUAAAACCAUUUUUACCUCCCAAAGCAGGACCUACCAAGAUUCUAGCCCUGCGGAAAGCGGAGAAGGAGACCAACUCUAAGAUCAAAACGCCCCUUUAUUGGAUCUUGCAGGAUUCCUCUCCGGAGGACCUGAUCCUCCCGCUGUCCUACUGGGCACCCCCUCCCCCUUCCGCCCCUCCAUUGGAGGCACCGGGGACUGCAGAAGGGGCGCCACCCCUCCCUGACGAGGGAGUCCCUGUGCAUGCUAGCCGCUAGCCGGGAUGCGGUGACCGACCCGCCGGUAGGCCCCACCUCCAAAUGUGGGGCCAGCCGACUCCACCGCCCUUCCGCUCCGCGCCAUGGGGUCUCCCGAGACUGGAGAACAACCAAUGCUAUAUUGGCCGUUCUCCAUCAGUGAUUUAUCUAAUUGGAGAACCCAAAAUGCAAAGUUCUCUGAUAACCCGAAAGAUCUAAUCGGGCUUUUAGAUACUGUUCUCUUUACCCACCAGCCUACUUGGGAUGACUGCCAACAGCUCUUGCAGGUUCUCUUCACCACCGAAGAGAGAGAACGAACUCAGGCGGAAGCCCAGAAGUCUGUCCUGGGAGAGGACAGACAGCCAACUCAAAACCCAGACCUUAUAAACGCUGCCUUCCCCUUAUCCUGCCCUACCUACUACAACUCAGCUGAAGCCUGCCUUUAGCACCCAAGAGCCAAGACCUUUUCACCUUUGAAUGGACAGACCCCGAGAAAGGCAUCAAUGGCCAACUCACCUGGACUUGACUACCACAAGGAUUCAAAAAUUCACCGACCAUCUUCGAUGAGGCUUUACACGAAGACUUGGGUGAGUUCCAUUCCGAGCACCCUCAUUUGACCUUAUUGCAUUAUGUAGAUGAUAUCCUGUUGGUGACAGAGGACCGGAACACAUGCCUGCGAGACACCAAGGACUUGCUCCAGACAAUAGCAGCUCUGGGAUACCAGGCCUCAGCUAAAAAAGCCCAGGUCUGCAGAGCAGAGGUGAGCUACCUAGGGUACAAAUUAAAGGAUGGACAAAGAUGGUUGACAGAUGCACGGAAGGAAACCGUCCUAAGGAUCCCACAGCUGCAACCCAUCCGCCAGGUAUGUGAAUUCCUGGGGUCAGCAGGGUUCUGUCGGUUAUGGAUUCUGGGUUUUGCCGAGAUGGCCAGACCCCUCUAUGAGGCCACCAAGCACCAGCAAAAUUUUGAAUGGUCAGAGGCCAUGAACAGUCUUUAAUGACCUUAAACAGGCCUUGCUGUCUGCCCCAGCUCUGGGUUGCCCAACCUAACCAAGCCCUUCUACCUGUAUGUGGAUGAGAAAUACGGGUGGCAAAAGGGGUCCUUGUCCAGUACAUAGGUCCCUGGAAGAGACCCAUAGACUAUCUAUCUCUCCAAAAAGCUGGACACGGUGGCCACUAGAUGGCCCCCAUGCUUAAAAAUUAUUGCCGCGGUGGCCACUAUGGUCAAGGACACAGACAAGCUGGCCAUGGGGCAAGAACUGCAUGUUACCACCCCACAUGCUAUUGAAGGGGUACUCAGACAGCCCCCAGACUGCUGGAUCAGCAUUGCCCGUCUGACCCAUUAGCAGAGCCUACUGCUAAACCCCACCAGAAUUUUAUUCAAGCCACCGACAACCCUGAAUCCGGCAACGCUACUCCCUAACCCAGACUGGGACCCCCCUCUGCAUGACUGUCAAGAAAUUUUGGCACAGGUGCACGGAAUCAGAGCUGAUCUCCAGGACCAGCCACUGCCGAACGCAGACGCCACCUGGUACACGGAACAGCAGCAGUUUCGUCGGAGAAGGAAUCAGAUGUGUGGGGGCAGCCGUAACCACGGAAACAGAGACCAAUGGGCAGAGCCAUUGGCAGCCGGAACAUCGGCUCAACGGGCAGAACUGAUCGCACUGGUCAAGGCGCUGACCAUGGGAGAAGGUAAAUGAAUAAACAUCUACACCGACAGCAGGUACGCCUUCGCCACCGCUCACAUCCACGGAGCCCUUUACAGAGAGAAAGGGCUUCUGACAGCAGAGGGAGAGACUAUUAAAAAUAAAACAGAGAUUCUUGAACUCCUGAGGGCCCUCUGGCUGCCAAGGCACUAGCUAUCAUCCAUUGUCCGGGACACCAGAGAGCAGACACACCAGUAGCCGGGGGAAACCAGCUAGCCGAUUCAAAAGCAAAGGAGUUGGCCCUUUUUCAGUGACUCAGAUCUUAACAACCAUGCUACCCGAUCAGGGGGCACCGACCCUACCGGACACCCCCAACGAUACUGAUGCUGAUUUACACUGGAUCAAACGCUUGCCUAUGACCCAGUGCUUGCGUGGCUGGUGGAGGGCCGCAGACUCCAGCAUCAUCCUGCCAGAGGAACUAGGACGGCGAGUCCUAUACAAAAUGCAUCGGAGUACUCAUAUGGGAACAAGGAAGAUGGAAGACCUCAUACGACAUGCAAAGAUCACUAUUAAAGACUCUCGAGCAAAGAUAGAGCAGAUUGUGGCAAGCUGCCAGCCCCAUGCCAGCUAACCAACGCUACCGCCCAUGGGUCUAACCCUGGAACCUGACUCAGGGGAGACCGCACAGGAGCAUACUGGGAAGUAGAUGUCACUGAGGUAAGGCCUGGAAGGUAUGGAUACAAGUACUUGCUAGUUUUUAUAGAUACCUCUUCAGGGUAGACAGAGGCAUUCCUCACCAAACACGAAACAGCACAUAUCGUGACCAAAAAGCUGCUGGAGGACAUUCUGCCACGGUAUGGAUUUCCUUCCAGGAUCGGAUCCAACAAUGGACCAGGGUUCAUUUCUAAGGUAACACAGAGAGUAGCACAAAUACUGGGGGCAGAUUGGAAAUUACAUUGUGGUUACAGACCCCAGAGCUCGGGUCAAGUAGAAAGGAUGAAUAGGACAUUAAAAGAGACCUUAACUAAAUUAGCCUUGGAGACUGGCGGGGUCUGGGUGACUCUCCUCCCCUUUGCCCUAUAUAGGGUGAAGAACUCACCAUAUAAGAUGGGAUUGACUCCCUAUGAAAUCAUGUUUGGUAUACCCCCACUUAUCAUUCCUACCCUGAAACCCGAAGUGCUUGCUGAAUUCAAUGACCAAAAACUUCUUUUCUCCCUCCAAAUGUUACAAAGAGCCCAUGAGCAGGUAUGGCCUAAGUUGAGGGCCCUCUAUGAGACUGGGCCACCCCCUGACCCCCAUCAGUAUCAACCAGGCAAUUGGGUGUACUUGCGGGAUCAACAGCAGACACUCCAACCUCGCUGGAAAGGACCCUACAUUGUGAUCAUGACCACUCCCACCGCUCUCAAGGUCUACGGAAUAACUCCCUGGGUCCACUACACCCACGUCCGGCCAGCUGAUCCACAUGCCAUCCUUAAGGACUUUGUUCCGGAAUGGAAGAGUCAGCCUGACAAGGACAAUCCCCUAAAGGUAAGACUGAGUCGUUCCCACUUACCCUGCUAAUAUUACUUGUGCUGUAUCCCCUCGUGGCUGAAACUAACCCCACUCACCAUAAAAUCUGACAUGGAUAGUUCAUAACACAGCCACGGGAGAAAUUUUAAAUGUCACCACCGGGUUGCAUACACCCGGGACUUGGUUUCCCUCUUUAAUUUUUGACUUAGUUAAGCUCCUUCAACUGACCUGGGACAGGGCUUUCAUUAGCACCAUUUUUAUGGCUGCCUGGGACACACCAGGAAAAAGGCCCAACAAUGUGGGGGCGCCAGCAGUUACUAUUGCUCCUCAUGGAACUGCGUCUCCACUGGCCACACCUGGUGGGAUCCCCCAAUAAGGGAUGACCUGAUAUCAGUCAAACGAAUUGGCCCUAUAGGCCAAUGCUCUAAAAUAGGCUCUAAACACAGCAAGGAUACCUGCAAUCUGGUAAACAUUACCUUCACUCCUAAAGGACAGGCAGAGACAAGUUGGAAUACUGGAUGCUUUUGGGGAAUAAGACUUUAUGAAAAAAACAGAAUCUUCCCCAGAGAUCCCGGGGCGAUAUUUGGAAUCAGACUCCAGCAGCGACCCCUGACUAACCCAAUUGCCUUAGGUCCAAACAAUUUGCUAGUGCCUCCUCAGGCAAUAUCUACAGCACCCCUUUGAAUUCAUCCCACAACCCCUCCAGUUGAGGCACCCCAGUCCCAGCUCGCCUUCCCAUGCACCCCACUCCCCUACCCCUCAACCCCUCUCAACACCCUCUUUGGGCCCUGAUGUCCCAGACUUACAAAUUCCUCAACACAACUAAACCCAAUCUAACCCAAUCCUGCUGGCUGUGCUAUGACAUCCGGCCCCCCCUUCUAUGAAGGAAUUGCAAUAAUGGAUCAGUAUAACACAACCACGGACCCUAAUGCUUGCAGGUGGAACCAAAAGCCUGGUAGUAAAGGCCUCACCUUACGAUCCAUGUCAAGCCAGGAGCUCUGCAUAGGUACUCCUCCACGCCACUACCAGAUUCUGUGCAAUGUUACACAGCCUAUAAACAGUACUGGGUAUCAUCUACUGCCCCAAGACAGUUGGUGGGCCUGUUCCAAGGGAUUAACUCCCUGCGCUCACGGACAGGUUAUAAACAGAACUGGGGGCUUCUGCGUGCUGGUUCAACUACUCCCUAGAAUCAUCUACCAUUCAGAUGAGCAGGUACUUCAAUGGAUGGACCUGGGUACCCACGGGUAAAAUAAAUGAGAGCCCAUCUCUGCUGUCACCAUCGCCACCCUACUAGGAAUUGGUUUGGCUGGUGCAGGAACACGUAUUGCCUCACUGGCCACUCAGGCUUCCCACUACAGUAGCCUUAGGGCUGCCAUUGAUGUAGACAUAGAGCACAUAGAGACCUCCAUUUCCCACCUCCAAGAAUCCCUAACAUCUUUAUCUGAAGUGGUGCUCCAAAACAGGAGGGGGUUAGACCUAAUUUUUCUACAGCAAGGGGGAAUCUGUGCUGCCCUGAACCAAGAAUGCUGUUUCUACACUGACCACUCAGGGAUAGUCUGAGAAUCGAUGGCAACGGUCAGGGAAGGACUGGCCAGGUGAAAACGAGAGCGAGAGCAGCAACAGGGGUGGUUCGAAUCCUGGUUCGAUCAUUCCUUCUGGCUAACUACCUUGUCCUCCUUAGCCGGCCCCCUCAUCAUCCUCCUCCUCCUUCUGACCUUUGGACCCUGCCUCAUUAAUAGACUAGUGGCUUUUGUCAGGGACCGGGUUAACACCUUUCAACCCCUGGUGCUAAGGCAACAAUACCAACCACUGAACUUUCAGGACCCAUGAUUGGGUCCUGCACUGGGUUCCUCUGAAAAAGGGGGGAGUGUGGGACCCAAGAAAUUCAAAAAAUGUCCCCCACCCCUGGCCCCUAGAUAAGCACACCCUGCAGCCUGUAGCCCAAGUCAGUUCCAAGAAAAACUGCAGAGCAUGCCCCAUGUCUGAAUGAGGAACUAAGAGCUUGAGAAACUCCCCCACCCUUACUGGAAAUCCCCUAGACCAGCCCCUAAAAAUCCAGCUGGAACCCACCUCAGGGUCCAAGUCCCUGCUCCACUGUGACGGGUAUACUUGGACCAAAGCUCGAACUUGCUAAUAAACCCUCGUGUGCUUGCA